UCCGCUUGAAGCUGUUUGACAGGUCCCCUGA
rnacentral:piRNA from 1 species